CAGUAAGAUGUCGGCCAUGGAUAUAUACACGUAUUAUUAUAUUAUAGUUAUUUUACUGGCUGUACAUAUUAUAUAUAUACAAGAUGGACCAGAGAAUAUCAGAUUCGCACCAACAAGUUCUAGUAUAACAGUGAUAGAAAAUGAAAGUAGAAAUGUAACUUGUUCAGCUGACUGUAAUCCACCGUGUAAUAUCAACUGGAAAAAAGGAUCUGCUCCUAGUGGUAGUAGUGGUCUUCUAUCACUGACCAACAUCACGAGACAACAAGCUGGUAAUUACACCUGUCAGGUUACAAACACACGGAUACCUGGUUCACGUCAAUCUAAACAACUAAUGGUUAUAGUUCAUUAUCCACCGGCCAUCACACGUCUAACAUCAGAUGCUACCAACACAGGGUAGAUGAAGAUUCUACUGUAACCUUCGUCUGUUCUGUUUACAGUCUUCCAUCUUCUGUAAUAUCCUGAUCUAGAUCACAACAAGGGGUACAACUCUAUUUUGGUAGUCAAUAUACCAUACCUAAAGCUAGUUGUCAACAUACAGAUAACUAUACCUGUAGAGCUACUAAUAAUAUUGGUGAAUCUGUAUCUAAAACUAGUCAACUCUAUGUUAGAUGUGUGCCUGUUCUUGAUCCUAACCAAGAAACUAAAACUACUAUAUCUGUAGGACGUGGAGAGACAGGUGUAUUAUCAAUCCAUGUUUUAGCUUAUCCACUACCUGUAUAUACCUGGUAUUAUCAACUACAGGAUGGUAGUAAACAACUGAUUACAGAUUUUAGAAUUAGACAAGAAGAUAAUGGUUUAUCAUCAACAUUAACUAUACAAGAUGUUACAGAAGAUGAUGACGGGAAAUAUAUAGUUUAUGUUAAUAACAGCCUUGGUUCCAAUUCCACUGUAUUUAACCUUGCUGUGACGUCACAAAAUGGAGGGUGUACUUGUUCAAAUCAGUUUGGUGAUAAUGACGUAAUUUCCAGAGAACGUGGCGUUGGUAUAGCUAUUGGAUUGGGUAUAUGUCUUCUGGUUUUGGGUAUUACUGUCCUUCUACUCUGGUUUAUCUUAAAGAGAAGCGGAAAGAAAAUUUGCUUUAAAGAAGCGAAUGAUAAUAAUUCUAUAGAUGCUAACAAACAGUAGUCCUAGUUAAUGACAGAGUCAGUCACAAUACAAGGUUAGAUAACACCACUUUGCCUGAUACUCUGUCACACUAUUUGUACCUGUACAGGUGAUAAAACAGUAGCUAAUGAUACAGUCAGUCACAAUACAGAGUUAGAUAAUAUCACCUUGUCUGAUACUCCACAUAUUUAUGACCGAGUUAAUACUGGUAUAACACAGGCCAGUACCACCCUAUCUACUAAUACAGGUGUUACACAGGCCAGUACCACCCUGUCUGAUAAUACUGACUAUAUCAACACAUCCACAACAUCAUCACCAUAUGAGGUACUGGAUAAACAAACUAUAAAUCAACAACCCAGUACUUAUCAACAACUCAGUCCUAUCAGGAGAUAACAAUUGAAGUGAAAAGAUGACCACGUGGCUAGUUAUAACUAUCUUCAUUAAUACAUGUAAAAAACUUCGUAUACAGAAUAAACUUAAAUUAAAGAUACAUUAUGGGAUUUAACAUAGGCAGAAAGGAUGAUAUUUGUAGGCUGAAGUUGACUUAAAUCGUCCGUUUUGGCCAUAUCACCCUUGCCCCGCCCCCCGUUUUCUCGCCCUUAUCCGAGAUAGAAGGGGAUUUUGCGUUCUUAAGUUAGUGCUAUGUUCUAGUGUACCAAUAGUGAAAUUAGUAACGAAAAAAAUUAAUGCUGUACGCGGAAUUCGAAUUAACGCAUCUCUAAGGGUGGGGGGGGGGUAUAAAGGGGGUGUUCUUAAGGGAGUAAGGAAGGGUAGUGGGUCUUCUUAAACAGUGUUUUUGAUGACAUCUGAGGUUGGUCGACGUAUGCACGAAAGUUGAUCGUUGUACGCAAAAGUCGAAUUAAAUCGUCAUGUUGGUCAUUUCACCCAUGGGUCCCCCGUUUUGUCGUUUUUAUCCGGGAUAGAAGGGGAUUUCGCGUUCUUAAGUUAGUGUUCUGUUCUAGCGGACCAAUAGUGAAACUUUUAUGGAAAAAAUUAAUAUUGUACGCAGAAGUCGAAUUAACUCGACUCUCCGGGGGUAAGAGGGGUGUUCUUAAGGGAGGAAGGAAGGGUCGUGGGUCUUCUUAAGCAGUCUUUUUGAUGAUAUCUGAUUUUGAUCGACGUAUCCACAAAAGUUGAUUGUUGUACGCAAAAGUCGAAUUAAAUCGUCAUUUUGUUUAUUUCACCCAUAGGCCACCCUUUUUGUCGUUCUUAUCCGGAA